rnacentral:rRNA from 1 species
UUUUGCGCAAUGGGGGAAACCCUGACGCAGCAACGCCGCGUGAGUGAUGAAGGCCUUCGGGUCGUAAAGCUCUGUCAGAGGGGAAGAAGUGCAGGGGCGCUAAUAUCGCUUUUGCUUGACGGUACCCUCAAAGGAAGCACCGGCUAACUCCGUGCCAGCAGCCGCGGUAAUACGGAGGGUGCGAGCGUUGUUCGGAAUUAUUGGGCGUAAAGCGAGUGUAGGCGGUUUGGUAAGUCUGAUGUGAAAGCC